UGGGGUCUGAUUCAAUGAUUCGUUCCACCCGCCUACUCGGUCUACUACUAAACGCAUCCUCAUUGCGCGGUAGACUUGUGGGCGGAAUCAAUCACUGAUUCAGGCUUGCAAAACUAAGAAACCCGCGCCAAUGCGCGGGUUUUUUU
rfam:Triticum urartu cultivar G1812 contig145015, whole genome shotgun sequence.